AAACGUUCAACUUGCGCAUGCAAGCCGCAGAUCGAUCUAAGCCAUGGAACGGGGACUUAGG
ncrna:Prochlorococcus marinus str. MIT 9515 Glutamine-II riboswitch (downstream peptide RNA)